rnacentral:rRNA from 1 species
AGUGAACGCUGGCGGUAGGCCUAACACAUGCAAGUCGAACGGCAGCACAGUAAGAGCUUGCUCUUACGGGUGGCGAGUGGCGGACGGGUGAGGAAUACAUCGGAAUCUACUUUUUCGUGGGGGAUAACGUAGGGAAACUUACGCUAAUACCGCAUACGACCUACGGGUGAAAGCAGGGGAUCUUCGGACCUUGCGCGAUUGAAUGAGCCGAUGUCGGAUUAGCUAGUUGGCGGGGUAAAGGCCCACCAAGGCGACGAUGCGUAGCUGGUCUGAGAGGAUGAUAGGCGACACGGGAACUGAGACACGGACCAGAGUAAUACGGGAGGCAGCAGUAGGGAAGCGUCCGCAAUGGGCGAAAGCCUGACGGAGCAAAGCCGAGUGAGUGAUGAAGGUCUUAGGAUCGUAAAAAUCUGUUAGUAGGGAAGAAAAAAUGUGUAAGUAACUAUGCACGUCGUGACGGUACCGAAUCAGAAAGCAACGGCUAACUACGUG